rnacentral:rRNA from 1 species
UACGUAGGGUGCAAGCGUUGUCCGGAAUUAUUGGGCGUAAAGAGCUCGUAGGCGGUUUGUUGCGUCGGCUGUGAAAUCCCGAGGCUCAACCUCGGGUCUGCAGUCGAUACGAGCAGACUAGAGUUCGGCAGGGGGAGACUGGAAUUCCUGGUGUAGCGGUGAAAUGCGCAGAUAUCAGGAGGAACACCGAUGGCGAAGGCAGGUCGCUGGGACGGUACUGACGCUGAGGCGCGAAAAGCGUGGGGAGCGAACAGG